AGAGUUUGAUCAUGGCUCAGAAUCAACGCUGGCGGCGUGCCUAACACAUGCAAGUCGAACGCGAAAGUCCCGCAAGGGAUGAGUAGAGUGGCAAACGGGUGAGUAACACGUGGGUGACCUGCCUUCGAGCGGGGGAUAACGUCCCGAAAGGGACGCUAAUACCGCAUGACAUCCCGCCUUUGAAGAGGUGGAGAUCAAAGCUGGGGAUCGCAAGACCUAGCACUUGAAGAGGGGCCCGCGUCUGAUUAGCUAGUUGGUGGGGUAACGGCUCACCAAGGCAACGAUCAGUAUCCGGCCUGAGAGGGCGGACGGACACACUGGGACUGAGACACGGCCCAGACUCCUACGGGAGGCAGCAGUGGGGAAUUGUUCGCAAUGGGCGCAAGCCUGACGACGCAACGCCGCGUGGAGGAUGAAGACCUUCGGGUCGUAAACUCCUUUCGAUCGAGACGAAUGGCUUCCGGGUGAACAGUCCGGGAGAAUGACGGUACCGAGAGAAGAAGCCCCGGCUAACUCCGUGCCAGCAGCCGCGGUAAUACGGGGGGGGCAAGCGUUGUUCGGAAUUACUGGGCGUAAAGGGCUCGUAGGCGGCCAACUAAGUCAGACGUGAAAUCCCUCGGCUUAACCGGGGAACUGCAUCUGAUACUGGAUGGCUUGAGAUUGGGAGAGGGAUGCGGAAUUCCAGGUGUAGCGGUGAAAU
rnacentral:rRNA from 1 species